rnacentral:misc_RNA from 1 species
AAGACUAUAGACCUGCGGAGUACCUGCGGAAGGAUCAUUACCGAGUUCGUGCCCCGCCGAGGGGUAGAUCUCCCACCCUUGUGUAUUUCAUACCUGUGUUGCUUUGGCAGGCCGCUGGGCCGCGUGCCUGGCCACCGGCUUCUCCGAAGCGGGUGCGUGCCUGCCAGAGGCCCCCAAACUCUUGUUUGUCUAGUGUCGUCUGAGUACCAUUGCAAAUCGUUAAAACUUUUAACAACGGAU